GAUAGCGGGGUAGCAUGUUAAAUGCACCAGUUCCCAAUCGAUCACUGAAGUUAAGCAACGUUGCGCGUGGUUGGUAUCUAGAUGACAAUCUGGGCCAUCGCGUAUUGCUGGCU
rnacentral:rRNA from 1 species